rnacentral:rRNA from 1 species
UACGUAGGAUGCAAGCGUUGUCCGGAAUUAUUGGGCGUAAAGAGCGCGCAGGCGGUAUGACAAGUCAGAUGUGAAAGAGGCCGGCUUAACCGGCAAGGGUCAUUUGAAACUGUCAGACUAGAGUGCAGCAGAGGAUAGUGGAAUUCCUAGUGUAGCGGUGAAAUGCGUAGAGAUUAGGAAGAACACCAGUGGCGAAGGCGACUUACUGGACUGUAACUGACGCUGAGGCAUGAAAGCGUGGGGAGCAAACAGG